rnacentral:pre_miRNA from 1 species
UUUGCACAGCGGUCUUUUUAAUGUGGUUUGUUUUGAGAAUCUUUAAAAGCACCGCCGCGCACAA